rnacentral:rRNA from 1 species
UACGUAGGGGGCAAGCGUUGUCCGGAUUUAUUGGGCGUAAAGAGCGUGUAGGCGGCCAGGUAGGUCCGUUGUGAAAACUCGAGGCUCAACCUCGAGACGCCGAUGGAAACCAUCUGGCUAGAGUCCGGAAGAGGAGAGUGGAAUUCCUGGUGUAGCGGUGAAAUGCGUAGAUAUCAGGAGGAACACCGGUGGCGAAGGCGGGUCUCUGGGCCGAUACUGACGCUGAGGAGCGAAAGCGUGGGGAGCGAACAGG